AGCGGCGGACGGGUGAGUAACGCGUGGGUAACCGUGCCUCAUACAGGGGGAUAACAGUUGGAAACGGCUGCUAAUACCGCAUAAGCGCACAGUACCGCAUGGUACGGUGUGAAAAACUCCGGUGGUAUGAGAUGGACCCGCGUCUGAUUAGGUAGUUGGUGGAGUAACGGCCUACCAAGCCGACGAUCAGUAGCCGACCUGAGAGGGUGACCGGCCACAUUGGGACUGAGACACGGCCCAA
rnacentral:rRNA from 1 species